GGACAACCUGCCCUCGAAGAGGGGGAUAACCCCGGGAAACUGGGGCUAAACCCCCAUGGGUGAUGGAUACUGGAAUGUUCCAUCACCGAAAGUCCGCAAGGAGCCCGAGGAUGGGUCUGCGGCGGAUUAGGUAGUUGGUGGGGUAACGGCCCACCAAGCCUAAGAUCCGUACGGGCCAUGGGAGUGGGAGCCCGGAGAUGGACCCUGAGACAAGGGUCCAGGCCCUACGGGGCGCAGCAGGCGCGAAACCUCCGCAAUGCGGGAAACCGCGACGGGGUCAGCCGGAGUGCCGAUGCUUGCAUCGGCUGUCGGGGAGCCUAAAAAGCUCCCCAUAGCAAGGGCCGGGCAAGGCCGGUGGCAGCCGCCGCGGUAAUACCGGCGGCCCGAGUGGCGGCCACUAUUAUUGGGCUUAAAGCGUCCGUAGCCGGGUUGGUUAGUCUCCCGGGAAAUCUGGCCGCUUAACGGUCAGAAUUCCGGGAGAUACUGCCAGCCUAGGGACCGGGAGAGGCCGAGGGUAUUCCCGGAGUAGGGGUGAAAUCCUAUAAUCCCGGGAGGACCACCUGUGGCGAAGGCGCUCGGCUGGAACGGGUCCGACGGUGAGGGACGAAGGCCAGGGGAGCAAACCGGAUUAGAUACCCGGGUAGUCCUGGCUGUAAACGAUGCGGACUUUGUGUCGGACAAGCUAUGAGCUUGUCCGGUG
rnacentral:rRNA from 1 species